UACGUAGGCAGCGAGCGUUGUUCGGAGUUACUGGGCGUAAAGAGUGCGUAGGCGGUUUUCUAAGUUUGGUGUGAAAUCUCCCGGCUUAACUGGGAGGGUGCGCCGAAACUGGAAGCUUGAGUAGUGGGAGAGGUGAAGCGGAAGUUCCGUGGAUGGUAGCGGUGAAAUGCGUAGAUAUCGAGGAGGAACACCGUGCGGUGUAGACGGCUUACGUGGACCAUAACUGACGCUGGAGGUGACGAAAGCGUGGGGAGCAAACAGG
rnacentral:rRNA from 1 species